rnacentral:lncRNA from 1 species
UUACGUUUUAUUAAAUAAAAGAAAAGAAAAUGAAAAUUUUAAAUAUAUAUAUAUAUUUAUUUUAUAUAUUUUUUAAUAUAUUUAUUUUAUAUAUUUUUUAAUAUAUUUAUUUUAUAUUUUUUUAAUAUAUUUAUUUUAUAUUUAUUUUUUUAUUUUUUUACAUUUUUAUUUAAAUAAAAGAAAAGAAAAAGAAAACUUUUUUUUUCCCUUUUCUUCUUCCUCUCGUGCGCCGCCGACCGUCCCUCUCUUCUCCCGUUCGCAGCAAGCAGCCGCCGACCAUCCCUUCUCCUCUUCUCCUCUCCGUUCCGCCGGAUCGAGCCGAACUCAACCGCAACGUCUGUUUCUUCCUCCGUUCACCAAAGCCGAACCCACUUUCUUUUCUUCUUCGAUCCAAAACUGUCGCUGUAACCGUCGGCCACCGCGUAACUUUCUGUCCAGAUCUGCGUCGCCGUGCCCAGUCCUAACCGCCGCUGCAACCGUCUCCGCGCCAUUGCUGUGUCUCCGUCGAAGCCAAGGCCGCCGCGUGAACCAUUAACCGCCACGCCCUCCGCUCACAACCGUUGUCCAGAUCUGCAUCGCCGAGCCGUCCAGGUCCUCGCCGCCGCUCGUGCUUCACCCUUGCAGUUCGCAGUAGCCCAAAUCCGUCGCUGCAACCGUCGGCGCGGUUCGUGAAGCCCUGCCGCGCAACCUCUGUUUCCAGCCGCCGCCCAUUCCGUUCUCCUCUUUUUUCUGCACUGCCGCGCCACUCUCCGACCGCGUCUGUCUUCACCUCCGUGAAGUCGUCGACGCAUACAUCUUGUGAAGCCCGGUCGCCGUGUCAGAUCGAAUUUUGUGAGAUAUGUGUCGUGAAAGUAAUCGAAUUUUGUAUUGUUAUGCUUAGGAUUGUUUCGAGAACGUUAGUUGAUUAAGGAGCUUCCCUAACUUUGAGGUAAGGGAUUUUCUACCGGACUCACUUAUGAUUGUGAAUUGUAUGUCUGUAUAUGUUGAGAUUAUAUAUAUACACGUAUGGAUGUAGAUUCGGUGUUGAAUGUAUACUGUGGAUGACUGAAAAUAUAUAUAUACAUAUUUGAAGUAGACUUGAUGUUGAAUGCAUAUUGUGAUUGUCUUGGAAUAUAUAUAUAUGUGUGUGGAUGUAGACAGGACGAAAAUUGUAGAUUGUGUUUGUAUGAGAUGCGGAUGUGAACUUGUGAUUGUCGUUUAGAUGGGUGUACGUUACUAAAGUAUGACUGUGUGCUGGUGAACUGAGGGGUUAUGACUAUAGUUUGAUUGACUGACGUAUUAGUAUGUUAUUGACAGACAUUGACUAAAGUGAGAUAAGUUGACUGUUAGAACGUUGAGUGAAAGAACUUUAUAUUUUGAAGUAACUGAAAGAUGGUAUUGAAUGGAUUGAGGGGAAAAUUGUUAGCUUUUAUUGGGAUGUGUGCCUUGUAGGUGUCCCACGGGAUCACCAAUUUAUUCUGCACCUUCGGGAGCAUUAGACUGAUAUGUGUUUCUGCAGAACACUAGACUGAAAUGUACGUCCCUCGGGUUAGACUGAAAUGUGCAUCCUACGGGAUCACAAGACUGCGACUGUACAGGGUGUCCCAAUAGAAUGUUAACAAUUUAUUUUCCCCUGACGGGACCAGUAGAGGGUCUCUUACUGGUAUUUUAUACUCACCCUUCUUAUGUUUAAUUUUCAGGCAAAGGUAAUAAAGGCGGCAAACCGGCGAGGGCAGGAAGGAAGCGUGAUUGCCAUAGGAAAUGUGUUAUUUUGCUUCCGCUUAUUGUUUUUUUGAGGUUUAAG